UACGGGGGGAGCAAGCGUUGUUCGGAUUUACUGGGCGUAAAGGGCGCGUAGGCGGCCACUGCAAGUCAGUUGUGAAAUCUCCGGGCUUAACCCGGAAAGGUCAACUGAUACUGCAGGGCUAGAGUGCAGAAGGGGCAACUGGAAUUCUCGGUGUAGCGGUGAAAUGCGAAGAUAUCGAGAGGAACACCUGCGGCGAAGGCGGGUUGCUGGGCUGACACUGACGCUGAUGUGCGAAAGCCAGGGGAGCGAACGGG
rnacentral:rRNA from 1 species